ACGCUGCUCAUCAGAAUCAUUUAAUGUGCAGGAUGAUUUCUGAGAAAAGUUGCUUUUGCAGGUUCCUCUUUCUUUGACACAUUUUCUAUUUUCAGUGGGAACAUUUUAAAUAAGGAAGUGUUUGUCUUUGCGAGUGCAGUGAUCGACAAGAUAAGUUAAAGGUGUUAAACUGAAGAAAAACCGCAACUAACACACACGGGAGCAGAGAUGAAAAGCUUCCUCUACGACACACUCACAUGAUAUGAAUAAGGCCUUUAAAGUGGAGCAGGAACAGAUCUCAAGCCGUCAGAGAGGAAGUUCAAAAGGAGCCUGAUGACGAGCAGCUGUGUGCAAACGUCUCCGAGCUUCUUUGAAUCAGAGGCCAGCUGUUAGUUUAUUGUGAAGCAGAACACCGGUUGUUGCAGCGUGGGGUCGGAGACUCCGUCAUGUCUCUCUUUGUGAUACUCGGGCUGCUCGUCUGCAUUCAGGCUCAAGGAACCUUUGUGACUCCUGUGUUUGUGCUGAAGGGACGUGAUCUGCUCCUCAAGCUUCAUGCUGAUCCUCCUGAGGGGGUUUCAUUUGUUGACUGGAAAAUCAAUAAAACAGACCUUUUAGUACGAUUUAAACCUAGUGGAGAAGGAACAGUCACUGGAAGGGUUCAGUUAGGUGAGAAUAAAUUCUCUGUGAUAUUGAAGAAUGUACAAGAGGUCGACAGCAGAGUUUAUUCUGCUGUAGCAGUAACAGAUGUAGACAAACUACUGACUGAAUACAAGGUCACAGUUCAAGGACCAGUGUCUCCAGUUGAACUGAUCGUGGACCGAGUUGACUCCAGCAGCUCAGAGUCAUGUGACCUCCAUGUGACCUGCAGGACUCACAACUCUCACAUCAGCAGCACUUUCAGUUGUGUCGACUGGUUCUGCAGUCAGGGGGGAGG